rnacentral:rRNA from 1 species
UACGUAGGGAGCAAGCGUUGUCCGGAAUCAUUGGGCGUAAAGCGCGCGUAGGCGGCCCCGUAAGUCCGCUGUGAAAGUCAAAGGCUCAACCUUUGAAAGCCGGUGGAUACUGUGGGGCUAGAGUCCGGAAGAGGCGAGUGGAAUUCCCGGUGUAGCGGUGAAAUGCGCAGAUAUCGGGAGGAACACCAAUGGCGAAGGCAGCUCGCUGGGACGUUACUGACGCUGAGACGCGAAAGCGUGGGGAGCAAACAGG